rnacentral:rRNA from 1 species
CACGUAGGGGGCGAGCGUUGUUCGGAAUUACUGGGCGUAAAGGGCAUGUAGGCGGUUAUGUAAGCCUGACGUGAAAGGCUAUGGCUCAACCAUGGCACUGCGUUGGGAACUGCGUGACUUGAAUCACGGAGGGGGAGCUGGAAUUCCAGGUGUAGGGGUGAAAUCUGUAGAUAUCUGGAAGAACACCAGUGGCGAAGGCGAGCUCCUGGCCGAUGAUUGACGCUGAGGUGCGAAAGUGUGGGGAUCAAACAGGAUUAGAAACCCCGGUAGUCC